AUCGAUGCGGUACAGACCCAGACAAUCCUUCAACAAAAGGAUGACGGAUGAGGAAGUAAACAAGUUUGCGCGUGUGUCGAAACAUGGAUUUGAGUUGUGGUAUGUGUAAUGAAUAUGGCACGCCACUGCACAGCAACAGGGAUUCAUUCCAGUGCACCCGUCGUGGGGUUUCCAUGGAGCGAGUGUGCUUUUGGCUUUCUGGAAAUUUCUGCUGAGAUGGCGGAGAUCUGACACGCAGAGCGCUCGCUAGGAACCCUCUGCAGAUAAAUUACCGCCAAGAUGCAUUUCGUUAUGCCUCGUAGUCCAGGUACGGAAUAUAAGAUUUGAAAACUUGGUGUGCUGUUACAGGAAAAUAUCCCACAUCCAGAGAAAGAAAAGAAACCCUUCUUCCUAUUGACUCUUGCAGAACAGAAGUUUAUUUAAAUGCAAAGCUCUUCACGGUGACGUGAUGCACCUCGAUGUUGUACCUAUAGUCCUUCACUUCGCACAUCGGCCGAGGCACAGCAGAUUUUCCUAGUUGGAUUAAUU
ensembl:lncRNA